CUUUCCGAGGGGAAAUUGGCCCGGGUGGCAUCGAUGGACCUGAUCGGCCAGGAUGAAGUUGGAAUAAAUGCCUGCUGCAUGAAUCCAUCAUAAAUAUAAACAUAAAGAUGAAGAAUGUCUGAAUAUGGAUACUGGGUGUCACAGGUGAAAGAAAGAGACAGAGUAUGCAGUUGAAAGCUCUAAAAUGGAAGAAAGACGCAAGAAAGG